CCAACCUUACUUGAACAUGAUCUGUUCUAUAGGUUGUACGUCUUAGUCUGCGUAGAUCCCUAUAUUCAGACAAACACACAAAUCCGAAAGAUGAACUAUGGCUCUCGGGCCAGAGCACGAAUACUGUGAUGGUUGGGGGUGGCUUCCCACUUCCACCCUUCUCUCGAUGAACCUCCCAUCUGUGACAUUUUCAGUUCCACACGGUGAAGGCCUGAGAGUGUUCUAACGGAUC
rnacentral:snoRNA from 1 species